CCUACGGGAGGCUGCAGUGGGGAAUAUUGGACAAUGGGGGAAACCCUUAUCCAGCGACGCCGCGUGAGGGAAGAAGGUUUUCGGAUUGUAAACCUCUGUCAGUGGGGACGAUAAUGACGGUACCCACGGAGGAAGCCACGGCUAACUACGUGCCAGCAGCCGCGGUAAUACGGAGGGUGCAAGCGUUGCCCGGAAUUACUGGGCGUAAAGGGAGCGUAGGCGGGAUGUUAAGUCAGAUGUGAAAAUUUUGGGCUCAACUCAUGACCUGCUUUUGAAACUGUGAUUCUUGAGUGAGGUAGAGGCAAGCGGAAUUCCUAGUGUAGCGGUGAAAUGCGUAGAUAUUAGGAGGAACACCAGGGGCGAAGGCGGCUUGCUGGGAUUUUACUGACGCUGAGGCUCGAAAGCGUGGGGAGCAAACAGGAUUAGAUACCCGGGUAGUC
rnacentral:rRNA from 1 species